CCAGCCGCCGCGGUAAUACGUAGGGGGCGAGCGUUGUCCGGAAUCAUUGGGCGUAAAGAGCGUGUAGGUGGACUGGAAGGUCUGGUGUGAAAGCCCGGGGCUCAACCCCGGAGGGUCACUGGAAACCAACAGUCUUGAGUCUGGAAGAGGAGAGUGGAAUUCCUGGUGUAGCGGUGGAAUGCGCAGAUAUCAGGAGGAACACCAAUGGCGAAGGCAGCUCUCUGGUACAUGACUGACACUGAGACGCGAAAGCGUGGGGAGCGAACAGGAUUAGAUACCCUGGUAGUCCACGCCGUAAACGAUGGGCGCUAGGUGUGGGGGGUGUCGACUCCCUCCGUGCCGAAGCUAACGCAUUAAGCGCCCCGCCUGGGGAGUACGGCCGCAAGGCUAAAACUCAAAGGAAUUGACGGGGACCCGCACAAGCAGCGGAGCAUGUGGUUUAAUUCGACGCAACGCGAAGAACCUUACCUAGGCUUGACAUGUUGGAGACAAUCGUGGAAACACGACUUCUUAGGACUCCAUCACAGGUGGUGCAUGGCUGUCGUCAGCUCGUGUCGUGAGAUGUUGGGUUAAGUCCCGCAACGAGCGCAACCCCUGUCCUAUGUUGCCAGCGAGUAAUGUCGGGGACUCAUAGGAGACUGCCGGUGACAAACCGGAGGAAGGUAGGGAUGACGUCAAGUCAGCAUGCCCCUUAUGUCUAGGGCUACACACGUGCUACAUUGGUCGGUACAGAGGGCUGCGAAGCAGUAAUGCGGAGCGAAUCUCAUAAAGCCGAUCUCGGUUCGGAUUGAGGGCUGAAACUCGCCCUCAUGAAGGUGGAGUUGCUAGUAAUCGCGGAUCAGCAACGCCGCGGUGAAUACGUUCCCGGGUCUUGUACACACCGCCCGUCACACCACGAAAGCUGGUAAUACCCGAAGCCGGUGGCCUAACCCGUAAGGGAGGGAGCCGUCGAAGGUAGGAUCGGUGAUUGGGGUGAAGUCGUAACAAGGUAACCAAG
rnacentral:rRNA from 1 species